rnacentral:misc_RNA from 1 species
AGAGGGGUUUUAUUAGUUGUUUCUCGUCUUAAUUACUUUGCUUUAGAAGGGAUUGACCUUAUGAUAUUCUUGCUUUUAUUCGUUGAUUAUAGUGAGCUAAUAGUGUUCUAUUGGGUGAAUCUCACAUUUGUUAGGUUGGAAUUGGUUUAUAAGUAGUGUAAACCAUUCUAUCCAACGGUUUACUUCCAAAGAUCAAUCUUGGCGUGCACUGAGCUCUACUUUCAGUUUCAGAUUUUCUGUUUACUUAGAUUUUGUUGGCUUACAAUGAGUGAAGGUGUUAGAGUGGGUAGUUCCGCACUAUUCAAAUAAGGGUCUUGGGAUUUUCUUUGUGAAUGAUGGCCUAAGGAAAACUACUUCCAAUUUCCUUUUCCCAUUUACGCUUUAGCAGUGCAGCUUCUAGCUUUUCAGAAAUGAGUAAAUUCCUUUAAAUGGUGGAUAUUACAUUAAUUAUGGAUAGGUAUGCAAAAUAAUGAGAGCUGAAGUGAAAUUAUAUUUGAUUUCUAAGAAUCUCUAGCGAAUAUGGUCAACAGAAUGGAGGGGAAAGAUUCAUGUAACUGACUCAAUUGGUUUGAGAUUAAAGCUUUAUUAAGUUUAGUUCAGUUUUAUAAUACUUAUGCUGCGAAAGACAAAGCAUUAUUUAUCUGUAAAAUCUUUAAAAAAUAAUGAAGGAAGAACUAGUUUCCUAGGUUUUGUACAAUGUACUGAGCCUACCAACAAAUUAUUUAGAAACUGUGCAGGGUACCACAAUUGCCACAGAUAUUCUCUUAAUCUCUUUCUUUGUAUAUUAUGGCACACCAACUAAAUCAUGUCCUAUGGGUUGUAGCUGCUCAUGUAGCGUGAACAAAUUUUUAGCUCAAAAUCCAAUUUUAUAUGGUUAUAUGAUCAUAAGCAUUUUCUGUUUCCUCAAACAACUUCACCUUCCUUGCUUCUGUUGGCUCAUGUGAAUAAAUAAACCUAGUUUAAGUCCUUAUAGGAUACAUUUACAUGUUCCCUUUAUGCAUAAUAAUACUGCUGUUUUAUUUGGUACCGAAUUUGCACAGUAUAUUCACAUUUUCCAUUUGAUGCCAGCAAUCUUACUGGCAAACUAUAUUGUUCAACAUUAUGAACCCCCAGAGUACAAUAAAUCCUAGGAAAGCCCUGGAAGGUGUGCAGGGGAUCCAUGUUGUGCCUCACUCGCCAUUUGCUUUGGAAGAUAUUACUCAACAAGGGGACUUCUCUCAAUCAACAUGUGGAAGUUUACUUAAUAUGGAGAAUCAGCAGCUAUUACUGCAGAGAGUGUGGCAACAAAGACCAGGAUGUUUGAGGCCCAUCAAGUGCGGUAUUAAUGGUGAAGAGAAAUGCCUUUUUAGGUUUUACUUAUCAAUUCAGUUGUUUGUUGUGCUUUCUUAUCUCUUUUACUUUCAUCAGCUGAUUGGAAUCUUACAGAAAGAGUGGCAAAUGUGCUUACGUCACUUCCUUUUAUUGCUCUAGGAUUCCAGGCUCCAAGGUAAUAGUUUUCUUGCCUGACAAUGUGAAUGUUCUUGUACUCCUAUAUCUGAUUAACUGCUCUACUUUGCAUACAGGAAGAACUUGAGUACUAAGUUGUAUGCUAGCUCAUUAGUUGGUGUUGGAGUUGCCUCGAGUUUGUAUCAUUCUUCAAGAGGAAAAAUAAGGAAGUACUUGAGAUGGUUUGAUUAUACAAUGAUAGCCACAGCAACAUUAGUGAGUAGUGUAAAAUAACUUGGUGUUUUUUCGCAAUUAAAACUUGCACAAGGUUAUCGGUAUGUGUGACACUUGAGAAUAUAUGACAAACUUGAACAAUGUUUGUAGUUUUAUUCUUCAAAAGGAAAAAUCAGGGGAGAUGAUUUGGUUAUACAAUGAUAGCCACAAUGACAGUAGUAAAUUAUUUAAAAUAACUUGGUUCGUAUAUGAUAAACUUGAAAAAUGUUUCUGAAACUAGUGCUUCUUUUGCUCAAAGCUAUUCUCUUCUAACAUGCAUGGUAUAUACAAUGAUACAUUCAUCUUUGGCUUUGAUUAGUUGUAAUUUCUUGAAUAUUAUUUUCAUCUUUUACCAUGUUGAGCCCUCGUAUUUUCUUGUUAUCAUACAAUUUUUCACUUCAGUUUCUGGCAGAAGAUCACUUUCUAAUGGUAAACUGCAUCAUAAAAUAUGAUUCUUCACAGGGAAAAUGGUUUUGUCAAUGUUGUCAUGUUGUUCAGUUUUUGGGCUUUUCCUUUGCCACCACCUCCUUAACUCUUGCCUCAAGCAUUUUCAGUUUCUUGUUUAGAAUAAAUUGAUAACUGAGGUUCUUGUUGCAGUGUUUGUCAAGAGCCCUUAGAAAUGAGAACCCUAAGUUGCUGAUGGCAGCAUCUGCAGCAUUAUUGCCUAUCCAGCCUUUACUGGUGUCUGCUGUUCACACAGGGAUGAUGGAGGUGGCAUUUGCAAAAAGAGCACUAAAAGAUCCAGAGCUAAGGAAUGCACAUAAUCUGCAUAAGAUGUCAUCCUUGUUAGGAGGAGUUCUUUUCAUUGCAGAUGAUCUGUUUCCUAGUACUCCUUUCAUUCAUGCUGGUUGGCAUCUUGCCGCGGCUGUUGGUGUUGGCACCUGUAACAGGCUUCUUGAGUAGCACGCCUGUAUCUCAGGUCAGUUUCGUACAGUUCAAUUUAUCCACAGAGCUGCAGCUUCAACUCAAAAACCAGUAUGGCUAUAUAUUCAUGCUCCAUGCAGCCAUGGUCUGGUACAAAAUGAAGGAUUUCCUGUUUGGGUUUAGCUUGUUGCAGUUCAAUGAGUCCAACCCACAUUGGGUUGCCUAAUCGAUUCUGUAUUCUUCCCUGCAUUAGUGAAAAGGAAAAAAAAAAUAGCAUUACCUUCAGUAGAACCGUUGUAUAUCCAAUCUGAAGGAUGUAAUAUUUUCUGUAGAACAGUUUUAGUCUGUAAAACAAUUAGAAAGAAACAAAUUUAUUUUCUUCCUUGCUUUUGGUGAAUGGGGUACAUAUAAAUUGUUUCUUGUAAAUGGGAGUAGCACUGUGAAAACUUCAUUUGGGAAAAAUUCAUCGCUGAAGUUGGC